CCAGGUCCUGGUCCAGGUCGAGGCCCGCCUUCUUGUAGAGGGCGCGGACCUGGGGGAGAUCGCGGCUGUGCCGGAGCAGCCGGGCGUAGUC
rnacentral:tRNA from 1 species